CCACAGUUUAUUUCGGGAGAGCUGUGCACCCAUCCGGGCUUGUGCCUGCUGAAAGUCCACAUGGACAGGGAUUGCUCCCGUACCACAGCUGGAACCACCUGGAACCCUGGCUGCCUUUGGGGCGUCAAAAGCCUCCUCCUGACUGGUCACAGAAACCUG